AUUCCAGCUCCAAUAGCGUAUAUUAAAGUUGUUGCAGUUAAAAAGCUCGUAGUUGAACUUCGGAACCGGUCGAUUGGUCCGUCCUCUGGAUUGUGUACUGAUCGAUCUGUUCUUCUUCGCGAAGACCGCGUGUGCCCUUAACUGGGUGUGCACGGGAUUCACGACGUUUACUUUGAAAAAAUUAGAGUGUUCGAAGCAGGCAUUCGCUUGAAUAUCUCAGCAUGGAAUAAUAGAAUAGGACUUUGGUCUUAUUUUGUUGGUUUCCGAGACCGAAGUAAUGAUUAAUAGGGACAGUUGGGGGCAUUCGUAUUUCAUUGUCAGAGGUGAAAUUCUUGGAUUUAUGAAAGACGAACUUCUGCGAAAGCAUUUGCCAAGGGUGUUUUCAUUA
rnacentral:rRNA from 1 species